AGAACGAACGCUGGCGGCAUGCCUAAUACAUGCAAGUCGAACGAACACUUCGGUGUUAGUGGCGCACGGGUGCGUAACGCGUGGGAAUCUGCCCUUGGGUUCGGAAUAACAGUUGGAAACGACUGCUAAUACCGGAUGAUGACGAAAGUCCAAAGAUUUAUCGCCCAGGGAUGAGCCCGCGUAGGAUUAGCUAGUUGGUGAGGUAAAGGCUCACCAAGGCGACGAUCCUUAGCUGGUCUGAGAGGAUGAUCAGCCACACUGGGACUGAGACACGGCCCAGACUCCGACGGGAGCAGCAGUAGGGAAUAUGGACAAGUGGGACGCAAGCCUAGACUACCAGCAAUGGCCGCGUGAGUGAGUGAAGGUCCGUUAGGGUUAGUAAA
rnacentral:rRNA from 1 species